AGAGGUGUGGCAGAGUGGUCGAUUGCAUCGGUCUUGAAAACCGACGUACCGCGAGGUACCGGGGGUUCGAAUCCCUCCACCUCUA
rnacentral:tRNA from 1 species